AUACGUAGGUGACAAGCGUUAUCCGGAUUUACUGGGCGUAAAGGGCGUGUAGGCGGUCUUGCAAGUCAGAAGUGAAAUUCCUGAGCUCAACUCGGGCGCUGCUUCUGAAACUGCAGGACUUGAGUGCUGGAGGGGAUAGCGGAAUUCCUAGUGGAGCGGUAAAAUGCGCAGAUAUUAGGAGGAACACCAGUGGCGAAGGCGGCCUGCUGGACGACAACUAACGCUGAGGCGCGAAAGCGUGGGGAGCAAACAGGAUUAGAUACCCUGGUAGUCCACGCUGUAAACGAUGAAUACUAGGUGUGGGGGGACUGACCCCCUCCGUGUCGCAGUUAACACAAUAAGGAUUCCACCUGGGGAGUACGUUCGCAAGAAUGAAACUCGAAUGAAUUGACGGGG
rnacentral:rRNA from 1 species